rnacentral:lncRNA from 1 species
AGCAGCAUACAAGCCGGAGAGCCUACUGGAAGCAAGAGGGGAAAAUCCAGUCAGGUAUGGGGACUGCAGGGAGGAUGCCCGGCGGCGGAGACUGGAUUCAGGAUUUGAUGCCUGAACUGAACCUUCUGUUAAGAGAAACACAGCUGCACAGCGCUGACAGAGAAGUCGCAGAGUAAAAGGGAACCCACAAUGAAAGAGCUGCAUUGCACCAUGUUCACAAUUUCCUUGCAGAGUGGGAGCAGAGAUGGUGCAAGUAAACCGACCCAUUUGGAAGCCCACUUGGAAACUGGGGUCAUUUAAAAAAAAUUAUUUCCAUAGGUUUUGGGGGAACAGGUGGUAUUUGGUUACGUGAGUAAGUUCUUUAGUUGUAAUUUGUGAAAUUUUGUGCACCCAUCACCCGAGCAGUAUACACUGAACCCUGUGUGUGGUCUUUUAUCACUCACCCCCCCACACUUUCCCCCAAGUCCCCAAAGUUCAUUAUAUCAUUCUUAGGCCUUUUCAUCCUCAUAGCUUAGCUCCCACUUAUGAGUGAGAACACAUGAUGUUUGGUUUUCCAUUCCUGAGUGACUUCACUUAAAAUAAUAGUCUCCAGUUCCAUCCAGGUUGCUGUGAAUGCCAUUAAUGUGUUCUUUUUCAUGGACUCAUUCUUUAAUGUAAUCUUGGCAACCAUUGAAUUUCUUGUU